UACGUAGGGUGCAAGCGUUGUCCGGAGUUAUUGGGCGUAAAGAGCUCGUAGGCGGUCUGUCGCGUCGGCUGUGAAAACCCGGGGCUCAACCCCGGGCCUGCAGUCGAUACGGGCAGACUAGAGUGCGGUAGGGGAGACUGGAAUUCCUGGUGUAGCGGUGAAAUGCGCAGAUAUCAGGAGGAACACCGGUGGCGAAGGCGGGUCUCUGGGCCGUAACUGACGCUGAAGUGCGAAAGCUAGGGGAGCGAACGGG
rnacentral:rRNA from 1 species